CCACCCACUAGGUCAGGUUGGACAAGGCCCUGUGCAACUUGGUCUUGAACACCUCCAGGGAUUGGGCAUCCACAACCUCUCUGGGCAACCUGUUACAGUGCCUCACUACCCAAAUAUCCAGAAAACCCUCUGCAAACAUCAGCAGAGCUGACAUGGUAUGAAAUUUAAAACAUGAGCUUCUUAGAUAUUAUUUUUUAAAAAUAGUUCCAACUGUUUCUGCAGAUAGUUUUUCACGAAUGAGUUUUGUAUCAGCUCUUGGGGUAUUUCAGGUGCAGCCAGGAAGCACAAACAGCUUUAAUUAUGGAAUCUGCUUCCUGCAGACAGAAUCACAGAAUAGUUUUUUGAAAGAAAAACAUUUGAAGUUCUUUGACCUACUGACAAAGAUUAAAAGUUCAGAGCCAGUCUGCCAUUGCUAUUGUCAACUUUCUCUUUUAAGCACUCAUUUGUGUAUUUCAGGGCUGCCUUAUAGAACGCUCCUUACAGGUCAAAGGUACUGCUAUUGGAAGGGUAAAUACUUUUAACUUUCUGCCUGUUGAAUUCCAACCUGCAGAGAGGCUUUGCAAAAAAUGAAGGUGAUACUUCUGGUUGGGCAUAUGCCCGGCUUCCUGGGACUUUGAUGCUUUCUCUGUAUGCAUUGUGGUGUAACCCCAUUAGGCUGCUGAGCUCCACACAGCCACUUGUUUACUCAACAACAGUGCCUGAGGUGAGAAUCAGAAAGGUAAAAGUUAGAAAAACUUGUGGCUUGAGAGAAAGACAGUGUACUAGGUAAAGCAAAAGUUGUGCAUGCAAGCAAAGGAAAAUAAAGAAUUUUUUUGCUACUUCCCAUCAGCAAGCAGAUGUUCAGUAAUUGCCAGGAAACCAGUACCAUCACAUAUGACAGUUUCUUGGGAAGACAAAUGCCAUAACUCCCAGUGUUCGCCCUUCCUCCUUCCCCCUCCCCCCAGUUUUAUUGUUGAGCAUGACAUCCUAUGGUAUGGAAUAUAAUAUUGCUUUGGCCGUUUUGGGCCAACUGUGCUGGCUAUGACCCCUCCCAGCUCUUGUGCAGCCUCCUCACUGGCAGGGCAGCACAAGAAAUAGAAAAGUCUUGGCUCUGUAACACUGCUCAGCAGCAGCUGAACACAUUGGUGUGCUAUCUCCAUUAUUUUCAUCAAAAACUCAAAACACAGCACCAUCUCUUCUCUAUGAAGAAAAUUAUCUUUGGUUAAAUUAACUUUUGUCCCAAAACCAGGACAACAUGGACACUUUGUCUGCGUGGAGCUUAUUUUUAUAUCUUUUAUUAAAGUAACACUUAAUUUCUGAGUGCUUGGGCAGGGUAAAUCAAAUUUGCAGUUAUGCCACUGAUUUUAGAAGUAAAUUAAGGUUGUAGACAGGUAAGGUCUUUUACGUAAAGGGUACUUCUGGAAUAGUGUUAUCCAGCCUAGAUCACUACAGCACAUUUGAAGCUCUGUGAAGCAAGGAGGCAAUUUUGUCCUUGCUGUCUGGUAGGAAUCAAGACAAACAAUGGUUAAAUGAGCUUUCUGUGGCACCAUGGGUCAACUGAGCCAAAGCAGGGACUUGUACCUGAGCCUCAGCUUUUCCUCUGGCUGAACCAGUAUCCUUCCUUUUUGGUCAUCUGCACAGCCAGUACAAGUGUCCUGCUGUCAGUGGAGUGUGUAUUGCUUUAAGACAGCCUGUGCACUGCCUAUUCUGCUCUCCAGACCUUGGGUGUACAAAUAGUUAAGGUAAGUGCAGGUCUUUGCAGUGUACAGUUAAAAAUUAAUCUGGACUAGAUCAGCACAGGGAUCCCAGCUGGCAAUAAGGGGUUUAAGAAGCAUGGGUCCUAUAGCAAUGACAGGCAGACCCCAGGACUUUUAACUGCAGACCAAUAACACAAACACCACAGCACUUUUCCUAGAAGAAACUAAAGACUAUCUUUAAAGUCUGAAUUAGUAGCUAUAUAACCUAAAGAUCCUCCAGCCGUUCCAUGAAAUGUUUAAAUCCAUGAUGCUUUCUUGUUAAACAUACAUACUGCACUACCUACCAAAGAUCUUUGUAAAGACCAAGAGGAUAAGAGCUGUACAGGUCCUGCAGGUAAGAAGAUAAGAACCUGCACUGUACUUAUUUUUAUAUAGACUAACAGUGCAGUGCAGGGGAGUUAGUACCACAUCUUCCAUUCAGAUUAAUACCAAAGUAUAAUCCCAUCCCCAGCACUAGGGCCCUCAUUUACCUCUUCAGAGAGCAAAGUUUUGGGAGUUUAGCCAGGACUGCAAGGUCAGAGCCAAGUAGGAGUGUGGUUUGCAAGUAGAUGAUGUCAUGUUUAAUGUCAUGGAAA